rnacentral:rRNA from 2 species
UACGGGGGGGGCAAGCGUUGUUCGGAAUUACUGGGCGUAAAGGGCUCGUAGGCGGCCAACUAAGUCAGACGUGAAAUCCCUAGGCUCAACCUAGGAACUGCGUCUGAUACUGGAUGGCUUGAAUCCGGGAGAGGGAUGCAGAAUUCCAGGUGUAGCGGUGAAAUGCGUAGAUAUCUGGAGGAAUACCGGUGGCGAAGGCGGCAUCCUGGACCGGCAUUGACGCUGAGGAGCGAAAGCCAGGGGAGCAAACGGG